rnacentral:rRNA from 1 species
UAUUUAUUAGAUAAAAAACCAACGCCCUUCGGGGCUCCUUGGUGAAUCAUAAUAACUUAACGAAUCGCAUGGCCUUGCGCCGGCGAUGGUUCAUUCAAAUUUCUGCCCUAUCAACUUUCGAUGGUAGGAUAGUGGCCUACCAUGGUGGCAACGGGUAACGGGGAAUUAGGGUUCGAUUCCGGAGAGGGAGCCUGAGAAACGGCUACCACAUCCAAGGAAGGCAGCAGGCGCGCAAAUUACCCAAUCCCGWUWYKKGGAGGUAGUGACGAUAAAUACUGAUACGGGGCUCUUUUGGGUCUCGUAAUUGGAAUGAGAACAAUUUAAAUCCCUUAACGAGGAACAAUUGGAGGGCAAGUCUGGUGCCAGCAGCCGCGGUAAUUCCAGCUCCAAUAGCGUAUAUUAAAGUUGUUGCAGUUAAAAAGCUCGUAGUUGAACCUUGGGUCUGGCUGGCCGGUCCGCCUCACCGCGAGUACUGGUCCGGCUGGACCUUUCCUUCUGGGGAACCUCAUGGCCUUCACUGGCUGUGGGGGGAACCAGGACUUUUACUGUGAAAAAAUUAGAGUGUUCAAAGCAGGC